AAGGUAGCAUAAUCAUUUGUCUUUUAAUUGAAGACUAGAAUGAAUGGAUAAACAAGAAUAAAUCUGUCUUAAUUUAAAUUAUUAUAAAUUUAUAUUUAGGUGAAGAAUCCUAAAUAAAUCUAUAGGACAAAAAGACCCUAUUGAGCUUUAUUUAAUUUUAUAUAUAAAAUUUUUUUAAAAAGGUUUAUAUAAUAAUAAGAGUUUGGUUGGGGCGACAUAGGAAUAAAAAAAUCUUCUUAUAAGAAUAUAAAAAUAAUAAAUAUCCUAGAAAAAGAAAAAAAAUUAGUUACCAUAGGGAUAACAGGCUAAUCUUUAUUGAGAGUUCAUAUUAACAUAAAGGGUUGGCACCUC
rnacentral:rRNA from 1 species